AUUGAACGCUGGCGGCAGGCUUAACACAUGCAAGUCGAGCGGGGUGAAGUGCUUCGGUACUGAUCCUAGCGGCGGACGGGUGAGUAAUGCUUAGGAAUCUGCCAUUUAGUGGGGGACAACAUUCCGAAAGGAAUGCUAAUACCGCAUACGUCCUACGGGAGAAAGCAGGGGCUCUUCGGACCUUGCGCUAAAUGAUGAGCCUAAGUCGGAUUAGCUAGUUGGUGGGGUAAAGGCCUACCAAGGCGACGAUCUGUAGCGGGUCUGAGAGGAUGGUCCGCCACACUGGGACUGAGACACGGCCCGGACUCCUACGGGAGGCAGCAGUGGGGAAUAUUGGACAAUGGGCGGAAGCCUGAUCCAGCCAUGCCGCGUGUGUGAAGAAGGCCUUUUGGUUGUAAAGCACUUUAAGCGAGGAGGAGGCUACCUGGAUUAAUACUCUGGGAUAGUGGACGUUACUCGCAGAAUAAGCACCGGCUAACUCUGUGCCAGCCGCCGCCGUAA
rnacentral:rRNA from 1 species